AGCUAAAUGAUUUAACAUUUGGUGAUUUCUGCUCAAUGGUUUACUAAAUAGCCGCAGUACCCUGACUGUGCAAAGGUAGCAUAAUCAUUUGGCUUAUAAUUGAAGUCUGGUAUGAAUGAACCCAUGGGAAAUAUCUGUCUCCUGCAUUUAAGUAAAAUUUACUUAAUAGGUGAAAAUUCCUAUAGUUAAAUAAAAGACGAGAAGACCCUAGAAAUUUUAUUUACUAUAAUGUUUCAUUAUAUCAUUUUGUUGGGGCGACAAAACAACAAUUAACUUGUUUUAUAUAAUUUGCAUAAUAUAAUAUGAAAAAUUAAAUUACUCUAGGGAUAACAGCAUAAUUUAUAAACGUUUGUGACCUCGAUGUUGGACUAGGAAUUUUGAUGUUCAAAAGAUAUUAAAAACUUGCUCUGUCGAGCAUUAACCCCUACAUGAUCUGU
rnacentral:rRNA from 1 species